GUCCCCGUAGCUCAGCAGGACAGAGCAGGAACCUCCUAAGUUCAAGGUCGGCGGUUCGAAUCCGCCCGGGGACU
rnacentral:tRNA from 1 species